UGAAGAGUGGCUCGUACACAAGUCAUGGAGAGGAUGGUAACAGAUAGGUUAAGUUACCAUAUGGAAAACAAGGGUCUCUUUUCAGCGUAUCAGUCUGGAUUUCGUAAGGGAAGGGGGACAAUGGACUCUGUUUUGUGCUUAUAAGCAGAAGUUAGGAAAGCACAAACUAAUAAGGAAAGUGUAAUUACUGUGUUCUUUGACGUCGAAAAAGCAUAUAUGCUGUGGAAGGAUGGACUACUUAUCAAACUUAACAAAUUAGGAAUAAAAGGUAAAUUAUUCAGUUGGAUACUAGACUUCCUGGACAGAAGAACAAUAGAGGUUAAGGUUGGUACAGAGUAUUCAUGUAGGCAUAUUGUGGAAAAUGGUACCCCACAAGGUAGUGUCUGCAGCCCCAUACUAUUCAAUAUCAUGAUAAAUGAUUUUUUGAUCAGGUAAGCGGAAAUGUAGGUAAGUCACUUUAUGCAGACGAUGGAGCACUCUGGGUUAGGGGACGAAAUGUAGAAUACUUAAGAAAGAAAAUGCAAAAUGCAAUAGAGAAAGUUGAACAAUGGACUUAUAAAUGGGGAUUUAAGCUAUCAAUUCAAAAAACUCAAGUUAUAUGUUUCUCUAAGCGCCAUAAGGUAGUGCCAUAUGGUAGUGGCAUGAAAUUGUAUGGACAAGAUUUGGAACAAAUUAAAAUGGUGAGAUUUCUAGUUGUCGUCUUUGAUGAGAGGCUGACUUGGUGUCAACAUAUUGAUAAGGUCAGAAAUAAAUGCAAAAAGAUUAACAACUUGUUGAGAUGUCUAUCAGGGCGAGACUGGGGAGCGAGUAGAGCAUUGCUAAUAAGCAUUUAUCAGGCUCUCAUGAAAACUGCCUCAGACUAUGGUUGUUUAGCAUAUAUGCCAGCAUCAGAAUCCAACCGUAGAAAGCUUGAUGUGGAGCAGGCACAGGCGCUCCGGAUUUGUACUAGGGCAUUUAAAACGUCACCAGUAACUGCAUUACAGGUGGAGGCAGGAGAGAUACCGCUACGUAUUAGGAGGGUCAAGAUUAUGUUGGCAUAUUGGACUAAUCUGCAAGGACAUAAUAUGAUGCACCCAACAAAAACUGCGCAGAGCAUAGCAAAAUAAAUUUUUAGUUUUGGGUGGGUGGGGAAUGCUAAGGCUCAAAAUGCAGGUCUCAUCCAUCCAUCUUCUACCGCUUAUCCGGGGCCGGGUCGCGGGGGCAGGUCUCAAAAUGCAGGUCUCAGUCAGCUGCAAAUUGGACCCACUGUGGCAAUAUCAGUGAUACCACCCUGGAAAUUUAUACAACCAGCUGUAAAUAUAAACCUACAACAAAUAAUAAAAGAAAACACAAAAAGAAUGCCAGGGUGGAUAAUAGUUCAAAACUAUGUAAAGAAGUAUCAAGAGGAACUAUUCAUAUUUACAGAUGGAUCAAAACAGCCAGAAACAGGCCGAACUGGUGCAGCAUUUUUUAUUCCCAGGUAUGAAGUAGCAGUCAAAAAGAGGACAACAGAUUACCUGUCGGUCUACACUGUGGAGUUAGUAGCAAUUUUACUGGCAUUAGGGUGGGUGGAGGAAAAUAAUCCGAACACAGAUGUCAUGAUAGCCUCAGACAGUCUAUCAGCAUUAUUAAGCAUUCAGUCAGGGAGAGCGUCAUGUAGACAAGACCUCAUCCAUCAAAUACUCCACUUGCGUCUCACACUUCACAAUAAAAGAAUAGAUGUCAUCUUCCUUUGGGUUCCUGCCCAUGUAGGGGUGGAAGGAAAUGAUAUUGUAGAUAUACUAGCAAAAACCUCUACAAAACAUGAAACAGUUGAUGUGCACGUACCAAUAAGUAGAACAGAGGUCAAAACUAUCAUAAAGCAACACUCACUUAAAAUAUGGCAGGAAUAUUGGAACACAGCGGAUACAGGACGUCACUUAUACAGUAUACAAAACCAGGUAGCCACAAGCAUGAGGAAGGGCAGAAGCCCAAGGGAAGAGAUGCUAAUCUCACAGCUUAGAAUGUGUCACACUGGUUUAAAUAUAACAUUGUACAGAAUAUCAAAAACAUCCCACUGGAUUAUGCACUGAUUGUAAAGUACAAGAGACAGUAAAGCAUAUACUGUUAGACUGUAAAAAAUAUGAAGAAGAAGAUAGGGCAGAAUUAAAGGCACACAUGGAUGAACAAAGCAUGACACUUGAACAUUUAUUAGGUAAAACGUCUUUGAGAAUACACAAAUAAGUAAUUUUGUUUUUGAAAAAUACUGGGUUAAGUGAAAGAAUAAGUUUUUUUUCUUCUUCUUCUUCUUCUUUUCCCCCCUCUAUCCUUUGAUGUCAUUCUAAUGCCCACACUCCAGUCUAGUAGGUGGCGGUAAUGCACCUUUAAGCUGAGUUGCCAACCGCCAUUAAACUCGAAAGAAGAAGAAGAAGAAGAAGAAGAAGAAGAAGAAGCGGCUCGUACAUUGAAGUUGUGCAUUGACCGCAUAAGGCUAUUUAUUCCUUCUUCACAGUUAUAUGAAGCUCCACUCUUUUCUUCUGGGAAGCUUUCCACUAGAUUUUGGAGUGUGGCUACAAGAGCAGUCAAGUACAAGUUCCAGUUCAUCCCAAAGGUGUUCAGUGGGGUUGAGUCAGAAUCAGUGCUCUGUACAGGACUCUCUAGUUCUUCUAACCUUAACCUACACACCGUUUCUUCAUGGAGCUCAGGGGCUUUGUGCACAGGGACAUCGUCGUGCUGGAACAGUGUUUGGGUCUUAGUUCCAGCUAAGAUAAAUAUGAGCAGAGACAUUUUGAGAUAUAUUCGUCUGUAUACUUCUGCCAAUAAUGUGUAUAAUUAAGUAUGACUAACAGUAAUAAAUUUGUUGU